GAAAUCAAGCAUUAAAAAGGUAAAUUUCAUUGAUUUUCCUUGUGAUUUUCACUACCCAUGCAUUUUUUUGUCAUUUCCAUGCAAAAUUAAAAAGUGGGUAUAGACACCCAUGCUGGCCAAACCUCCAUGGAUGAGUUUUGAACUUGAGUUUUGGUUGAUUUUAAUUGAAUUAAGUGAUUUUAGUUAGGUUAUAUUGAAAUAUAGCAAAAAUAAGUUAGAGAAAUAAUUAUCUCCCAUUGAAACCCAUUAUGCUGAAUUUUCUAGGGGAAUAUUGGCUGCUGAUCUUGAUGUUUAUUUGAGGAAUUAUGAUGAGUAAUGAUGAAUUAUGAGCCUAGAAAAGUAAUGGGAAUUUUCGGAGCAAAAAUACGAAUUUUUACCUACUAGGGGUAUUUUCGUAAUUUGCUAUCAGGACUGAUAAUUUGCACCACAUUGAGGAACAUUAAGUCAAUUUGGGUGCAAUUGAGGUAUAGAAAUUGAAAAAAAUUAAUUUGGAGUUUAAACGGACGCGUAUAUUGAUUUAUCGGGUAAAAGACCGAAAUAGGCUAACAUCUCGUUUAGGCAAAAUUUAGACAUUUUACACUUCAUAUCAUGCAUUAGUAGUAUAAAUUAGUUUAUUUUGGUUUAGUACCAAAGUAGUGAACCUCUUAAUUGUACAAUUUGUCAAGGUGGCGAAUCCUCUAGCAAGGGCAAAGAAAUUGCACUCGAGGAGUAAUAGUUGGAGUGCCCGAAUUUAGUUUUCAGAAAUUGUGAGUAAACUUAUUAUCGUCUUAAUUAUCUAGAGUAGUUUUAUACAAUUGUGUGAUUUUAUGGAAAAUGGGUUUAAAUGGUAAAUUGUAAUGUUUUAAGAGAAAUUGUGAUUUUAUAAAAUGAUUUUAUAAAUUUUUUGAAAAAUUGAAUACUGGUCUUGAAAAUAGAGUAAUUGGAGACUGCCUGCUUGUGUUGUAAAUUUAUGGUUUUAAAUUGAAUGGCUUAUGAUAAUAAAUGAGCAUGAAUGGCUAAACUGAUUUUGGUGUUAGAAUUAUUUGUACUAUGUAUUUAGCCUUGAGAGGCUAGGUUGCGAUAAAUUGCCAUGGCAUGCAGAAAAAGAUUUUAUAAAUCAGGUGGUAGAUAAAAGAUUAGCUACUGCAGUAGUGGGGGGUUCCGUGGGCCAGCCUAUUAGAGGGGCACGGUAAACUCCUUUAUAUUCUCACCUCGGUCGUAGAGGCGUGUAGGGUAUCUCUUGAGGUGGGCUUUUUAAGUGCACUUCACGUGGACCACCGCGUGAGAGUGAGACUCAGCCAACGCCAAGGAACGACUAUGUUUCAAAAUAAAAAUAUGAUUUAUGCGAAAUAUGAAUUUUUAACAGCCUUGGCGGGCUCGGUUGGAUACCCCUGGUCCAGGUGUCACCGAGUAUCGGAUUUGGCAUGAGCCAAGUUUUGAGUAAUUCACGAGCCAUAUUGAUUAUUUGGUUGAAAUGAAUAUUCGUGAUGUGAAAAAUUUACUAAAGUUAAUUAUUUUUAAUUGUCUCCAUUUACUCGCCUUUAGAUAGUUUAGGAUGGUGUUUGUUUUCUCAUUGGGAUUUUAUAAUCUCACCACCCUCAAUUCCCCACAUUUCAGGUUCGGGAUAGCCGGUAGAUAGCCGAUUGCAUCAAGGACUUCAGUUAGCCUUGCAUUGACAAAAUUAUAGGUUCACAGACUCGCAUCUUAUUGGUUAGUUGGGGG
rnacentral:lncRNA from 1 species